UACUUACAGUUACAGCCAAUCCUGUUAAUCACCUGCGGACCAAUGAGGACCCAAGACCACGGUGUUGUAGCGGAUUAGUCAUGUCGGCUUCGGUUUCAGAGGGGGGGAGCCAUGUCUAUGGGAAAAGCUGCAUUCAGACGCCGCCCGCAGCACGACGUUUGACGGCGGUUUCAGGCAGGAGAGGGAAGCGCAUGCGCAGGCGUUGUCCAAUAUAUUCUGUUAAAAAAAACGGACCACCAAUUUUUCUAUUACAAUUUAAAUCACAAAUCACGUGGAUAUACGCUCACCUUAACAAUAUGUAAUGUCCGUUGAGGUCACGUGAUUCUACGAGAAGUCACAUGACAUCAGAGGUCCGAAGUUUGUUUGCAAACUUUAUUUAAAUAUGUUGCUAACAAAGUUAUAGAACCUUUUUUCGACUUUACACAUCAUUUUUAAUUUUCUUUUUACCCAACUCGGGCUAAUUAUACGCCCAACAGAAAGAAAAUGUUCCUAUAACCAGCCUUACAAGAUAUUACACAGCUGACACCACGUAACAAUAUCA